GACGAACGCUGGCGGCGUGCUUAACACAUGCAAGUCGAACGGAAAGGCCCUGAUUUUGUGGGGUGCUCGAGUGGCGAACGGGUGAGUAAAACGUGAGUAUCCUGCACCUGACUUUGGGAUAACUUCUGGAAAAUCGGGCUAAUAUCGGAUAUGAGCUCCUGCUGCAUGGUGGGCGUUGGAAAGUUUCGGCGGUUGGGGAUGGACUCGCGGCUUAUCAGCUUGUUGGUGGGGUAGUGGCUUACCAAGGCUUUCACGGGUAGCCGGCCUGAGCGGGUGACCGGCCACAUUGGGACUGAGAUACGGCCCAGACUCCUACGGGAGGCAGCAGUGGGGAAUAUUGCACAAUGGGCGGAAGCCUGAUGCAGCAACGCCGCGUGCGGGAUGACGGCCUUCGGGUUGUAAACCGCUUUCGCCUGUGACGAAGCGUGAGUGACGGUAAUUGGUAAAGAAGCACCGGCUAACUACGUG
rnacentral:rRNA from 1 species